rnacentral:rRNA from 1 species
UUCGCAAUGCCCGAAAGGGUGACGAAGCGACGCCGCGUGCGGGAAGAAGGCCUUCGGGUUGUAAACCGCUGUCGGGAGUUAAGAAAUGUAAGGAUGUUAAUAGCAUCUUUGCUUGACUAAGGCUCCGGAGGAAGCCACGGCUAACUCUGUGCCAGCAGCCGCGGUAAUACAGAGGCGGCAAGCGUUGUUCGGAAUUAUUGGGCGUAAAGAGCACGUAGGCGGCUAUGUAAGUCGGUUGUGAAAGCCUUCCGCUCAACGGGAGAACAGCAUCCGAUACUGCAUGGCAUGAGUGCGGGAGGGGAGAGUGGAACUUCUGGUGGAGCGGUGAAAUGCGUAGAUAUCAGAAGGAACGCCGGCGGCGAAAGCGGCUCUCUGGCCCAUAACUGACGCUGAGUGUGCGAAAGCUAGGGGAGCAAAGGGGAUUAGAUACCCCGGUAGUCCUAGCCGUAAACGAUGGGCACUAAGUAGAGGGGUUUU